GACGAACGCUGGCGGCGUGCUUAACACAUGCAAGUCGAACGGAAAGGCCCUGCUUUUGUGGGGUGCUCGAGUGGCGAACGGGUGAGUAACACGUGAGUAACCUGCCCUUGACUUUGGGAUAACUUCAGGAAACUGGGGCUAAUACCGGAUAGGAUCUCCUGCUGCAUGGUGGGGGUUGGAAAGUUUCGGCGGUUGGGGAUGGACUCGCGGCUUAUCAGCUUGUUGGUGGGGUAGUGGCUUACCAAGGCUUUGACGGGUAGCCGGCCUGAGAGGGUGACCGGGCACCUUGGGCCUAAGAUACGGCCCAGACUCCUACGGGAGGCAGCAGUGGGGAAUAUUACACAAUGAGCGCGCGCCUGAUGCAGCAACGCCGCGUGCGGGAUGACGGCCUUCGGGUUGUAAACCGCUUUCGCCUGUGACGAAGCGUGAGUGACGGUAAUGGGUAAAGAAGCACCGGCUAACUACGUG
rnacentral:rRNA from 1 species